rnacentral:rRNA from 1 species
GACUAACGCUGGCGGCGUGCUUAAUACAUGCAAGUCAACGACUUUUAGAGUAGCAAUAUUUUAAAGGAAGUGGCGCACGGGUGAGUAACACGUAGGUAAUCUGCCUUCAGGACUGACACAACUCGUCGAAAGACGGGCUAAUAUCAGAUAAUGCAGCGGCUCCGCAUGGAGACAGUUGUUAAAGUACAAGCGCCUGAAGAUGAGCCUGCGGUCCAUUAGCUAGUUGGUAGAGUAACAGCCUACCAAGGCAACGAUGGAUAGCUGGUCUGAGAGGAUGAUCAGCCACACUGGAACUGAGACACGGUCCAGACUCCUACGGGAGGCAGCAGUAAGGAAUAUUGCUCAAUGGCCGAAAGGCUGAAGCAGCAACGCCGCGUGAAGGAUGAAUGGCCUUUGGCCUGUAAACUUCUGUAAAAAGGGAAAACAAGUCAGGUAUAAUCCUGA